CUGGCAAUUUUUGUUCACACUGGUUCCUCAUCCACUUGCCACAUUCACGAUGGAUCAGACCGGUGCGAGUAUAUUACUGGUUUUUAGUGCAGCUUUCUCGGAGAAACAGACAGACAGAUACGCCAAUGCAGAUAAAGCAAGUAAACGCACAAGAAAAAGUAUGAGUUGAACAGAAAAACCCCCGAAUGGUCUGGAUUUACUUUCAACACAGCGCGCGCUAUAGAAUUUGCGUCCUUUCAACAUGUCUUUCAACUAGUUAAAAACAGCGCGCGUCAUGAGGCAUGCGUUGUUGAACAGAAAAAGGCACGAAUGUAGACAUAGCUUAAGCCACGAGAGAAAGGG
rnacentral:lncRNA from 1 species